GGCCCCGGGGCUCCCCCUGAGCCCGUGGCCGCCACCAGCUUCGUGGGGCCAGAACCGCGGGACCUGCUGCCCACCGGUGAGGAGCUGGGCAGCCCCAGCAGCGCCGGGACCGGGCAGGGCUACGGACUGGGCUGGCCACAGGAGCCGGCGCCGUUCGCUGUGGAG